CCUACGGGAGGCAGCAGUAAGGAAUAUUGGUCAAUGGGCGCAAGCCUGAACCAGCCAUGCCGCGUGCAGGAAGACGGCCCUACGGGUUGUAAACUGCUUUUGUACCGGAAUAAACCUUUGUAUGUAUACGAAGCUGAAUGUACGGUAAGAAUAAGGAUCGGCUAACUCCGUGCCAGCAGCCGCGGUAAUACGGAGGAUCCAAGCGUUAUCCGGAUUUAUUGGGUUUAAAGGGUGCGUAGGCGGCCUAUUAAGUCAGGGGUGAAAGACGGUAGCUUAACUAUCGCAGUGCCUUUGAUACUGAUAGGCUUGAAUGUACUUGAGGUAGGCGGAAUGUGACAAGUAGCGGUGAAAUGCAUAGAUAUGUCACAGAACACCAAUUGCGAAGGCAGCUUACUAAAGUAUGAUUGACGCUGAGGCACGAAAGCGUGGGGAUCAAACAGGAUUAGAUACCCUGGUAGUCCACGCCCUAAACGAUGAACACUCGAUGUUGGCGAUAUACGGUCAGCGCCUAAGCGAAAGCGUUAAGUGUUCCACCUGGGGAGUACGCCCGCAAGGGUGAAACUCAAAGGAAAUUGACGG
rnacentral:rRNA from 1 species